UCUGUCUCUUUCUCUCUUGUUCUGUCUUUCCUCCCCCAUUUCAUCUCAAUAAACUCCACAUUCGAGCUCUGUCUGUAUGGCGUAUUUGUCUCCCGCCGGAGGCCCUCACCCACCGCGGGACCUUCCGGGGUCCCUCUCGCUCCGUCAUCAUAACACUUAUGUAUCAAUCAUCUGUCUGGACACCUGAAGAUCAAGCUGGACUGUCGGUGGUUUUUCAACUGCCUGGCAGGGAGUUUACACACUGAAGCUUCCCUUUUAAUAAAGUACCAUCUUCAGGAGACACCUAUCUUAGAACAGGUCAGCUCGUUUCCAGGUGUAUGCUACUGAAAAAUAAAUCACAGAGCCAGAGAGAGGACAAAUUGGAUCCAUGGGAAUUCGUCACCAGCUUUAUUCCUGCAGAUGACCUAAAGCUCACCUGCUCUGAAUCCUGGUCAUUGAACUUGCUCUGCUUCUCCUUUCUCCUCUCAUUUGAAGGUUGUCUGCCUUGAACUCACGAGAUGAGACUUUUAGUGAGACCACAGAAGCAGAAAGAAGUGGGAUUUGCCCUUUGACUCAACUGGGAUCCGUACACCUCUUAUCAUAAGAAAAACGAUCUUUGAAAAA